UGAGUGUGAUGGAGAAUCAUGAGAGAUGGC
rnacentral:piRNA from 1 species